CAGUCGCCACGGUAAUACGGAGGGGGCUAGCGUUGUUCGGAAUUACUGGGCGUAAAGCGCACGUAGGCGGCUUGGUAAGUUAGAGGUGAAAGCCUGGAGCUCAACUCCAGAAUUGCCUUUAAGACUGCCGAGCUAGCAGGUGAGAGAGGUAAGUGGAAUUCCGAGUGUAGAGGUGAAAUUCGUAGAUAUUCGGAAGAACACCAGUGGCGAAGGCGGCUUACUGGCUCAUACUGGACGCUGAGGUGCGAAAGCGUGGGGAGCAAACAGGAUUAGAUACCCGUGUAGUCCCUGUCUCUUAUAC
rnacentral:rRNA from 1 species